GACAGAGGUCCCGAGCGUUAGGCGGAAUCACUGGGCUUAAAGCGUGUGUAGGCGGAGUGCUAAGUACCUUGUGAAAUCCCACGGCUCAACCGUGGAACUGCUUGGUAUACUGGUUCUCUUGAGCCAGCCUAGGGGCAACCGGAACAAACGGUGGAGCGGUGAAAUGCGUAGAUAUCGUUUGGAACGCCAAUGGUGAAAACAGGUUGCUGGGGGUGUGCUGACGCUGAGACACGAAGCCAGGGGAGCAAACGGG
rnacentral:rRNA from 1 species